rnacentral:lncRNA from 1 species
UUCGCAAGAAUAGAACAAAACUUAAUUGAAAAUGAUAUAUCAAACCUGUGGACUCCUGUCCCCGACAACAAUAAGUUACCUGAGCCGAAAGAUAAAAUGUCGGACGAAACAUAUUGAAUUAUAUAUUAUGUCUCUUUCUUAGUGAUGAUGAACAUUCAAAUUUCAAUGAUAAGCAUUAUGUCUUUCCCAAAAAGGGAAAAGUAUAGAGUUGAAACUAACAUAUAUAAGAGCUUUAGUUCGACUGGAGAGCGGGCUCCGUCAAAAGAUAGAUUUGUACGUUUGCGACUCCUUACGGUGUCUCCGCCAUUCAUCUGCAACAACGUGCAUCUCCACCGAACAUCUCUGUUCAUAUCCGCCGAACAUCUCCAACGUUCAUCUCCAUCGUCUAUCAUUGCUGUCAACCUCCACAGUUAAAGAAGAACAAAGCGACGUCAACCUCAUUCGACAUCGUUGCCGUGAGUGUCACUUGAUCUGAACCAGAACUUUUUUGUUGUUGAUUGGAUCGUCUCACCAACCAGAGGUAUUUAUUUUAACAAUGAAUUGUCGGGAAACAACUUGUAAAAAUCUCUCUUUUAAACUAAUA